AGUAACACGUGGAUAACCUACCUAUAAGACUGGGAUAACUUCGGGAAACCGGAGCUAAUACCGGAUAAUAUUUUGAACUGCAUGGUUCAAAAGUGAAAGACGGUCUUGCUGUCACUUAUAGAUGGAUUCGCGCUGCAUUAGCUAGUUGGUAAGGUAACGGCUUACCAAGGCAACGAUGCAUAGCCGACCUGAGAGGGUGAUCGGCCACACUGGAACUGAGACACGGUCCAG
rnacentral:rRNA from 1 species